rnacentral:tRNA from 1 species
GCUAUUAUAGUGUAAAUAACACGUUACAUUUUCAUUGUAAAAUUAAAGGUUUAAUCCUUUUAAAAGUU